rnacentral:rRNA from 1 species
GCGUUGUCCGGAAUUAUUGGGCGUAAAGAGCUCGUAGGCGGUUCGUCACGUCGGCUGUGAAAACCCGGGGCUCAACUCCGGGCCUGCAGUCGAUACGGGCGAACUAGAGUACUUCAGGGGAGACUGGAAUUCCUGGUGUAGCGGUGAAAUGCGCAGAUAUCAGGAGGAACACCGGUGGCGAAGGCGGGUCUCUGGGAAGUAACUGACGCUGAGGAGCGAAAGCGUG